rnacentral:piRNA from 1 species
UGCAAACAUUGUCUAGUGUAGCAUACGUGU